CAUUAAGACUCGGGGUGCAGACCUUGCGUUAUCUGAUAGCCGCUGAAAUGCGAUUAUAGAUAACCACGCGUUUGCUGAGACAUCACCCGUUGAACCUGAUGCGGUUAAUACCGCCGUAGGAAAGUCAUUGCAACUCCCC
rnacentral:ncRNA from 2 species